rnacentral:rRNA from 1 species
CAAUAGCGUAUAUUAAAGUUGUUGCAGUUAAAAAGCUCGUAGUUGGAUUUCUGGUCGGAAGCUCCUGUCCUCUGAUGAGCGUACAAGUGCGUCCUACCAUCCUUCUGUUAACCUUUAAGGCUUUCGCGGCUUUCUAGGGGCUCAGAUAUUUUACCUUGAGAAAAUUAGAGUGUUUCAGGCAGGCUAGCGCCGGAAUACAUUAGCAUGGAAUAAUGGAAUAGGACUUUUGCCUCUUCUGUUGGUCAUGAGGCUCGAGUAAUGAUUAAUAGGGAUAGUUGGGGGCAUUAGUACUUAACUGUCAGAGGUGAAAUUCUCGGAUUUGUUAAAGACUAACUUAUGCGAAAGCAUUUGCCAAGGAUGUUUUNAUUAA